rnacentral:lncRNA from 1 species
GUACCAUGUCUACAGUCUUUCCUCUGCUGCUCUUCUGGUCAUCCUCUGCCUCCCAGCUGAGGUGCAGGACUUGCUGGCGCUGGAGGCAUUUUGUCAGAAGGGUCGCUGAGCAGCUCAGCUUGGGUGCUACUGCCUUGCCAAGUUGGUAAUGAGAAAGCCCAUGUUUGGGGGCCAGCUUUGUUCUUAUGCUUUUUGUAGUCAGAUAUGAGGCCAUAUAAGGCUCAGCCGAGGAUUUGGCCUAGUGUAGGAACUACACUGAAUUCAGCCUCAAGCUGCAGCCCCUGCCACAACCUCUGAUCAGUAUGUUCUCUGCAGAGACCAUGGGAUUCCCCAACCAUGGCCAGGAAUCCCGGACUCACUGAGGCUGAGUUGAGGAUCUGAUUUAGGGAGCCUGAGAUUGCCUGGGGUCUGGGACCCAGAACCUUGAGAAGUCUGCCAGACUUGAUUCAUUUAACAUUUUCUUAUACCACUGCCCUUGAUCCAGGUGUGUCCAGGCUGGCCUCCUUUUGAGGAAAUGAUGAUUGAACCUGGGUUUCUGGGAAGAGCCAUGUUUUCUUUGGUGUCUACAUGUAUCCACUCAUUCCACCUGAGCUAGAGCCAGCAAGUGAGGAGGCUGUUGCUCACAGAGGACAGGUGACUCAGCCAGAGCCACAGAGUCAGGAUUUCAAUCCAGGGCUGCUGGAUUACAGAGCCCAGUCUCUGAAUCACCAGCCUUUCUGACUCCUGCAGAAGAGGGCUAUGUUUGUGUCCAUGCAUGUGCCUACGUAUCUUUGACUGAGAGAUGUGAAUGACAGUUUCCCUUCCCAGUUCCACAUACUCCAUGACUAGUUUCACUCUCAGAGGAGGAUUUUGUUCUUCAAUUGUGGAGUGAUCUCUAUCACCAGUGACUAAAGAUGUUGGAGCACAGAGAGCCAUACCCCAAAAUAUGAUGCUUCGGCAUGCUGACUGCUUUGAAAAUUGAAAGGCCUCAGAAAUAAUCCUCAGUGCCAGGGUCUCCCUCUGACCUCCCCCUACCUCCCUUUCUCUCUGAUCCUGUCUCUCCCAAAGCACAGAAUGAAGCUGUUCUCUGAAUUCCCUUAUCUACCUAGAAACUGGACCCCCAAAGAGGAACACAAUUUGCCUUUGAUCCCUUCCCUGAAAUUUCAUUAACCAGAGAAAAUUAAAACUUCUAUCACAAAGGAAGAGACUGAACAUUAAACACCAUAGCUACAGCCCAGACAAACUUCUUCCCAAACCAUUGUUUGUUCUCCUGCCUGUUAAAUUGCCAGAGAAUCAUUCACAAGAUAAAGUCUGCCUUCUGGGUCCAUUCAUUCCCCACUAAAAAUCUUUUACUCCUACACCCUCAUGUCUCCUUCCUCCAUGAAGAAGGGUCUAUAAACCUCUAGGCCUCAUUGGGUUAUUGGGUAAUCAUUCUCAUGCAGUUCCCCUGUGCUCUGCAUGUUAAAUAAAUUUGUAUGCCUUUUUCUCCUACCUGCCUUUUGUCAUUUUCAGUGAACCUUCAGAAGGUAAAGGCAGAAGCUUUCCUUCUUUGCCCCUAUAGUGUCAACAACAGCCAGCCAGGCAAAGGGUUUCAGAAACCCAAGUGGGAUUAAGAUGAUUAGCCACAUGGCUCUAUUCUACAAACUAGUGGUCAGAAUAACAAGCGUUUGCUUAUUAGGAGGUCGAGGUGGGAGAA